UACGUAGGGUGCGAGCGUUAAUCGGAAUUACUGGGCGUAAAGCGUGCGCAGGCGGUUGGUCGUGUCCUGUGUGAAAGCCCCGGGCUUAACCUGGGAAUUGCGAUGGAGACUGCAAGGCUAGAAUCUGGCAGAGGGGGGUAGAAUUCCACGUGAUAGCAGUGAAAUGCGUAGAGAUGUGGAGGAACACCGAUGGCGAAGGCAGCCCCUGGGUCAAGAUUGACG
rnacentral:rRNA from 1 species